rnacentral:rRNA from 1 species
UUUUCCGGUUGAUCCUGCCGGACCCGACUGCUAUCAGAGUGAGAUUAAGCCAUGCGAGUCAACGUAGCAAUACGUGGCACACGGCUCAGUAACACGUAGUCAACAUAACCAAAGGACGUGGAUAAACUCGGGAAACUGAGGCUAAACCGCGAUAGAUCAAGAUAUCUGGAAUGGUUUUUGAUCAAAAUCUAUAUGGCCUUUGGAUUGGACUGCGUCCGAUCAGGCUGUUGGUGAGGUAAUGGCCCACCAAACCUGUAACCGGUACGGGCUCUGAGAGGAGGAGCCCGGAGAUGGGUACUGAGAAAAGGACCCAGGCCCUAUGGGGCGCAGCAGGCGCGAAACCUCUGCAAUAGGCGAAAGCCUGACAGGGUUACUCUGAGUGACUUUCGCUAAGAAAGUCUUUUGACACCUCUAAAAAUGGUGUAGAAUAAGGGGUGGGCAAGUCUGGUGUCAGCCGCCGCGGUAAUACCAGCACCCCGAGUGGUCGGGACGAUUAUUGGGCCUAAAGCAUCCGUAGCCGGUUUUACAAGUCCUCCGUUAAAUCCAGCUGCUUAACAGAUGGGCUGCGGAGGAUACUAUAAGACUAGGAGGCAGGAGAGGCAAGCGGUACUCAGUGGGUAGGGGUAAAAUCCGUUGAUCCAUUGAAGACCACCAGUGGCGAAGGCGGCUUGCCAGAAUGCGCUCGACGGUGAGGGAUGAAAGCUGGGGGAGCAAACCGGAUUAGAUACCCGGGUAGUCCCAGCUGUAAACGAUGCAGACUCGGUGAUGGACUAGCUUCAUGCUAGUCCAGUGCCGCAGGGAAGCCGUUAAGUCUGCCGCCUGGGUAGUACGGUCGCAAGACUGAAACUUAAAGGAAUUGG